GGGGAAUAUUGCACAAUGGGGGAAACCCUGAUGCAGCGACCCCCCGUGGAGGAAGAAGGUCUUCGGAUUGUAAACUCCUGUUGUUGAGGAAGAUAAUGACGGUACUCAACAAGGAAGUGACGGCUAACUACGUGCCAGCAGCCGCGGUAAAACGUAGGUCACAAGCGUUGUCCGGAAUUACUGGGUGUAAAGGGAGCGCAGGCGGGAGAACAAGUUGGAAGUGAAAUCCAUGGGCUCAACCCAUGAACUGCUUUCAAAACUGUUUUUCUUGAGUAGUGCAGAGGUAGGCGGAAUUCCCGGUGUAGCGGUGGAAUGCGUAGAUAUCGGGAGGAACACCAGUGGCGAAGGCGGCCUACUGGGCACCAACUGACGCUGAGGCUCCAAAGUGUGGGUAGCAAACAGCGAUUAGAUACCCUGGUAGUCCACACCGUAAACGAUGAUUACUAGGUGUUGGAGGAUUGACCCCUUCAGUGCCGCAGUUAACACAAUAAGUAAUCCACCUGGGGAGUACGACCGCAAGGUUGAAACUCAAAGGAAUUGACGGGGGCCCGCACAAGCAGUGGAGUAUGUGGUUUAAUUCGACGCAACGCGAAGAACCUUACCAAGUCUUGACAUCCCUUGACGAUGCUGGAAACAGUAUUUCUCUUCGGAGCAAGGAGACAGGUGGUGCAUGGUUGUCGUCAGCUCGUGUCGUGAGAUGUUGGGUUAAGUCCCGCAACGAGCGCAACCCUUAUGGUCAGUUACUACGCAAGAGGACUCUGGCCAGACUGCCGUUGACAAAACGGAGGAAGGUGGGGAGGACGUCAAAUCAUCAUGCCCUUUAUGACUUGGGCUACACACGUACUACAAUGGCGUUAAACAAAGAGAAGCAAGACCGCGAGGUGGAGCAAAACUCAGAAACAACGUCCCAGUUCGGACUGCAGGCUGCAACUCGCCUGCACGAAGUCGGAAUUGCUAGUAAUCGUGGAUCAGCAUGCCACGGUGAAUACGUUCCCG
rnacentral:rRNA from 1 species